rnacentral:rRNA from 1 species
AGUCGAGCGGUAACAGAAAGUAGCUUGCUACUUUGCUGACGAGCGGCGGACGGGUGAGUAAUGCUUGGGAACAUGCCUUGAGGUGGGGGACAACAGUUGGAAACGACUGCUAAUACCGCAUAAUGUCUACGGACCAAAGGGGGCUUCGGCUCUCGCCUUUAGAUUGGCCCAAGUGGGAUUAGCUAGUUGGUGAGGUAAUGGCUCACCAAGGCGACGAUCCCUAGCUGGUUUGAGAGGAUGAUCAGCCACACUGGGACUGAGACACGGCCCAGACUCCUACGGGAGGCAGCAGUGGGGAAUAUUGCACAAUGGGCGCAAGCCUGAUGCAGCCAUGCCGCGUGUGUGAAGAAGGCCUUCGGGUUGUAAAGCACUUUCAGUCAGGAGGAAAGGUUAGUAGUUAAUACCUGCUAGCUGUGACGUUACUGACAGAAGAAGCACCGGCUAACUCCGUGCCAGCAGCCGCGGUAAUACGGAGGGUGCGAGCGUUAAUCGGAAUUACUGGGCGUAAAGCGUACGCAGGCGGUUUGUUAAGCGAGAUGUGAAAGCCCCGGGCUCAACCUGGGAACUGCAUUUCGAACUGGCAAACUAGAGUGUGAUAGAGGGUGGUAGAAUUUCAGGUGUAGCGGUGAAAUGCGUAGAGAUCUGAAGGAAUACCGAUGGCGAAGGCAGCCACCUGGGUCAACACUGACGCUCAUGUACGAAAGCGUGGGGAGCAAACGGGAUUAGAUACCCCGGUAGUCCACGCCGUAAACGAUGUCUACUAGAAGCUCGGAGCCUCGGUUCUGUUUUUCAAAGCUAACGCAUUAAGUAGACCGCCUGGGGAGUACGGCCGCAAGGUUAAAACUCAAAUGAAUUGACGGGGGCCCGCACAAGCGGUGGAGCAUGUGGUUUAAUUC